rnacentral:lncRNA from 1 species
AACAGCUGCAACACUGCCAGAAACCACGGGAAGGGCGAAAUAUUUGCUGGUUGCUGCUAUUUGAAGCCUUGCCAGAAUCAACAAUGAUGGUCUUAGGCAUUAUCAGCUCAUUUUAAAAAUGUAUCCUGACAGAUGCUGGUAUGCUCCUCCUGAGAGGCACACAUCAGUUCUCAUGGCCCCCAAAGCAGUGGGAUGGGGUUGUUCAAAAGUUCAAGUGGGAGAAGGUGUUGGAAACUGAUCUAUUCCAACUCAGUUAAACAGGGAAGUGUGGAGAGGUUGCAUGUUUGGUCUUAUUUGGGUAAAGUAGACAAAGCAAUGCCCUCGGCCUUCAGUGUACACAGGUGACACCUGUAAGAAUUCAUUUAAAUGCAGGUUUCUAGGGCACACCCAGAGAUUUUGACUUAAGUUUUGGGGGACAUAGGAACAUACUUUUUUGUUUUUUUGAGACGGGGUCUCACUCUGUUGCCAACAUCUGCCUUCCGGGUUCAAGUGAUUCUCCUGCCUCAGCCU